AGCUAGGGAAGAAAUGAUGAGAGGAAAACCAGGUUAUGAGCAUUUGAAUGAGCCUCUCCACAUCCUAGUUGAGGCGGAAUUGCCAGUUGAAAUUAUUGAUGCACGCCUUAUGCAAGCCCGUGAGAUUCUUGAGGACUUGCUCAAACCAAUGGAAGAAUCUCAUGACUUCUACAAGAAGCAACAGCUACGGGAGCUAGCUAUGCUUAAUGGCACACUUCGUGAGGAGGGCUCACCUAUGUCCAGUUCUGUGUCUCCCUUCCACAAUAGCCUCGGAAUGAAGAGAGCCAAAACUAGGGGGUAAAUGGAAUUGAUGCUUCAUAGAAGAGGCUUUUGGAGAUCGUUUUCUAGUGUCUGGGAGUAAUCAGCAGUCCCAUUCCAAGGUGUUGCCUGCAGCCAAUGCCUUCACUGCAAUCGGGGCACUCGCACUCUUUAUGUGCAGGUUCUUACUAAAAUUUAUAUGGUGUGUUUAUGUAGUAUUCGGAAGAGAAGGUAAUGUACUGACAUGGAAAUGUCAAGCAGUUAAGGAUUACUAGCGAUUGGGGGGGCC
rnacentral:misc_RNA from 1 species